UACGUAGGGUGCGAGCGUUGUCCGGAAUUACUGGGCGUAAAGAGCUCGUAGGUGGUUUGUCGCGUUGUUCGUGAAAACUCACAGCUCAACUGUGGGCGUGCGGGCGAUACGGGCAGACUGGAGUACUGCAGGGGAGACUGGAAGUUCCUGGUGUAGCGGUGGAAUGCGCAGAUAUCAGGAGGAACACCGGUGGCGAAGGCGGGUCUCUGGGCAGUAACUGACGCUGAGGAGCGAAAGCGUGGGGAGCGAACAGGA
rnacentral:rRNA from 1 species